UACGUAGGGUGCGAGCGUUGUCCGGAAUUAUUGGGCGUAAAGAGCUUGUAGGUGGUUUGUCGCGUCUGCUGUGAAAAUCCGAGGCUCAACCUCGGACUUGCAGUGGGUACGGGCAGACUAGAGUGUGGUAGGGGGAGACUGGAAUUCCUGGUGUAGCGGUGGAAUGCGCAGAUAUCAGGAGGAACACCGAUGGCGAAGGCAGCCCCCUGGGCUAACACUGACGCUGAGGCACGGAAA
rnacentral:rRNA from 1 species